CAUAACACAAACAGAAGGAAAAGGUGGAGCCAGAGCAAACAGAAAUGACAACCUUCCCCCAAGACCAAAGCCAGCAUGUGGCAAGAGCCAUUGCUUUCAAACAAGCUACCUCAGCAGGCCUGCUCUGAGCUCUGGAACUGGACAGCCUAUUGCUGAACCUGAAUGGCUUUGCAUGCAUUUGGAAUCAAGACCUGCACUUUACACUGGCAAAGGCUUCUGCAGGACCCUUCAGUUCAUCCAAAGUGGCUAUCUGAGGCACAGAGGCAGCACUCAGUAAUCUUCUCAUUGCUGUUUGAAGCACCUGCACAGGCAUUUCCACUCUCAC